rnacentral:rRNA from 1 species
AGUGGCGGACGGGUGAGUAAUGCUUGGGAAUCUGGCUUAUGGAGGGGGAUAACUGUGGGAAACUGCAGCUAAUACCGCGUAUUCUCUGAGGAGGAAAGGGUGGGACCUUAGGGCCACCUGCCAUAAGAUGAGCCCAAGUGGGAUUAGGUAGUUGGUGGGGUAAAGGCCUACCAAGCCUGCGAUCUCUAGCUGGUCUGAGAGGAUGACCAGCCACACUGGAACUGAGACACGGUCCAGACUCCUACGGGAGGCAGCAGUGGGGAAUAUUGCGCAAUGGGGGGAACCCUGACGCAGCCAUGCCGCGUGAAUGAAGAAGGCCUUCGGGUUGUAAAGUUCUUUCGGUAAUGAGGAAGGGAUGUUGUUAAAUAGAUAGCAUCAUUGACGUUAAUUACAGAAGAAGCACCGGCUAACUCCGUGCCAGCAGCCGCGGUAAUACGGAGGGUGCGAGCGUUAAUCGGAAUAACUGGGCGUAAAGGGCACGCAGGCGGACUUUUAAGUGAGAUGUGAAAUCCCCGAGCUUAACUUGGGAACUGCAUUUCAGACUGGGAGUCUAGAGUACUUUAGGGAGGGGUAGAAUUCCACGUGUAGCGGUGAAAUGCGUAGAGAUGUGGAGGAAUACC